UCGGCAAUGGGGGAAACCCUGACCGAGCGACGCCGCGUGUGGGAUGAAGGCCCUUGGGUUGUAAACCACUGUCAGAGGGGAUGAAGUGCUAGAAAGCUAUCUUUCUAGUUUGACAUAGCCUCAGAGGAAGCACGGGCUAAGCACGUGCCAGCAGCCGCGGUAACACGUACUGUGCGAACGUUAUUCGGAAUCACUGGGCUUAAAGGGUGCGUAGGCGGCGAUUCAAGUCAGAUGUGAAAUGCCUGAGCUCAACUGAGGCAUUGCGUUUGAAACUGAUUUGCUAGAGUGUCCUAGGGGUGUGCGGAACUGCCAGUGGAACGGUGAAAUGUGUUGAUAUUGGCAGGAACACCGGAGGCGAAGGCGGCACACUGGGGGAUAACUGACGCUGAGGCACGAAAGCCAAGGGAGCGAACGGGAUUAGAUACCCCGGUAGUCUUGGCCGUAAACGAUGAGUACUGGGCGGGAGGGGGUUUCCCCUUUCUGCCGUAGCGAAAGCGUUAAGUACUCCGCCUGGGGAGUAUGGUCGCAAGGCUGAAACUCAAAGGA
rnacentral:rRNA from 1 species